GAUUUCUGGCUUGUAACAACUUAUCGGCCACGGUUUCGUGUGUUAGUGUAGGUUGUUCUUGCCAUCCUUCCAAUCGCUAUUGGCUUAUCUUCAUUGAUAGGUCAGUAGUAUUGGAUCUUUUACUUUGAAAAAAUUAGAGUGUUUCAAGCAGGCUUUAUGCUAUGAAUACAUUAGCAUGGAAUAAUAAUUUAGGACUUCGGUUCUAUUUUGUUGGUUUCUAGGACUGAAGUAAUGAUUGAUAGGGAUAGUUGGGGGUGCUAGUAUUCAGCGGCCAGAGGUGAAAUUCUCGGAUUCGCUGAAGACUAACUUAUGCGAAAGCAUU
rnacentral:rRNA from 1 species